UUAGAGCGCCGGCCUGUCACGCCGGAGGCCGCGGGUUCAAGUCCCGUCACUCGCG
rnacentral:tRNA from 1 species